rnacentral:rRNA from 1 species
CACGUGUGCAACCAACCCCGUACCGGGAGAUAACCCGCGGAAACGUGGACUAACACCCCAUAACACCUUUCCCCCGCAUGGGGGAGAGUUUAAAAUCACGAUGGUACGGGACGGGCACGCGCGACAUUAGGUAGUUGGCGGGGUAACGGCCCACCAAGCCGACGAUGUCUAGGGGUUCUGAGAGGAAGGUCCCCCACACUGGAACUGAGACACGGUCCAGACUCCUACGGGAGGCAGCAGUGAGGAAUAUUGGUCAAUGGGCGAGAGCCUGAACCAGCCAAGUCGCGUGAGGGAAGAAUGGUCUAUGGCCUGUAAACCUCUUUUGUCAAGGAAGAAUAAGCGGCACGAGUGCCACCUUGCCAGUACUUGACGAAUAAGCAUCGGCUAACUCCGUGCCAGCAGCCGCGGUAAUACGGGGGAUGCGAGCGUUAUCCGGAUUUAUUGGGUUUAAAGGGCGCGUAGGCGGGACGUCAAGUCAGCGGUAAGAGACUGCAGCUAAACUGUAGCACGCCGUUGAAACUGUCGACCUGGAGACGAGACGAGGGAGGCGGAACAAGUGAAGUAGCGGUGAAAUGCAUAGAUAUCACUUGGAACCCCGAUAGCGAAGGCAGCUUCCCAGGCUCGAUCUGACGCUGAUGCGCGAGAGCGUGGGUAGCGAACAGGAUUAGAUACCCUGGUAGUCCACGCCGUAAACGAUGCUCACUGGAUCUUGGCGAUACACGGCCAGGGUUCAAGCGAAAGUAUUAAGUGAGCCACCUGGGGAGUACGUCGGCAACGAUGAAACUCAAAGGAAUUGACGGGGGCCCGCACAAGCGGAGGAACAUGUGGUUUAAUUCGAUGAUACGCGAGGAACCUUACCCGGGUUUAAAUGCAGGUUGCAUGAGGUGGAAACACCUCUUUCCCUCGGGACUACCUGCAAGGUGCUGCAUGGUUGUCGUCAGCUCGUGCCGUGAGGUGUCGGGUUAAGUCCCAUAACGAGCGCAACCCCUAUCGCCAGUUGCCAUCGGUUCAAGCCGGGCACUCUGUCGAGACUGCCACCGUAAGGUGCGAGGAAGGCGGGGAUGACGUCAAAUCAGCACGGCCCUUACACCCGGGGCGACACACGUGUUACAAUGGCCGGUACAGAGGGCAGCCACGGGGCGACCCGGAGCGAAUCUCUAAAGCCGGUCGUAGUUCGGACUGGAGUCUGCAACCCGACUCCACGAAGUUGGAUUCGCUAGUAAUCGCGCAUCAGC